UGUAAUUCUGAAUUAUGUUGCUGAACAAACUUGACAAUCACCAUUAGAAAGAAGGUGACAUGUUUAUGGACCCAGAACUAGCUAAGACAGUUCUCUGUGUACAUGCGGAUCACUUCAAGAAUCUUCUUGAUGAAAGAAGCUUGUGUGGUUUGUUAAAAGACUUCGAUCUGCUCACAGCCAUGCAGAUUAAGAAGAAUUUAGAUCGACAUUAUUUUGAUAACAAUGAAAACUCAAAUGCUUGGAACGAAAUGAGUGGAGUUGAACGACGCCCUGUUUAUCGAAACUACAUCAAUCAACUUUUCAACUAUGCAGGGUUUCAAAAUGUACAAGGCAUCAUAUCAAAGAUUGCAUAUGCCCGAAAGAAGGACAAAUCCAAUUUG